UAAGAAAGUUCUGUAGGAAGGUUCCUGUGGACAAAAUCCUGCUUAUAAACACCUACUACAAAAAAACAUGUUCUGUGGAAACUUUCCUUGUGUAUGCUCAAAGGUACAGUACUUCAGCACGUGAAAACAAUACUGCAGUUCUUCUACACGCUAGCAUGUAUCAAGGAGCGAUAUCCUAAAGCCCCGGAGUUUGGAGCUCCUAUUCCACUAAAAAACAACAACCCAAAAAUAAAGCACAACAAUGGCAUUUAGUGUAAGGGUGGCUUCUACCUGCCUUAUAAAGAUGUUCUGGUAAAUGCAGUUGCCAAAAAUAUGGUGUAAGACAAGUGAUGCACGUUUCAGCCAUCUCCAAUUCAGAAGACAACGUUUGUGCUAUUCAGAUCACCACUGACAGUUCUGGAAAUCCAACAGCAAGUACUCAAUUAGAAAGAAAGGGGAAGAGAAAGGAUCCAAUGAAAAUCAGUGGCUCAGAUUAUAUCCAGCACAGAGACAGAAAAUAUUUCAGGAAAUCCAUACAGCUUCCAGGAUACAAAAUCAGUCUCAUACCAAAACCAUCCACUCCAUAGAAGAGACCGUGCAACACAGUAAGUCACAUCUCAUUCAUGUUAAACAUGCGUCAAACACUCCUGCAGAGGCACAUCUUAAAACAGUCGCAGUAAUAAUUCUGUAUCUUUCAGGCACACGCAGCCUCACAUGGUUCCUUCCAGACCCAUUUCCCUUACUGUCACAAAGGACCAUAUCAGAUGCAAUCCACCUUCAGCUAUCUUCUACACAGAGUGAAAAGACAGCCUCGGCCCAUCAUUUACUGAGACAUUCCAAUCUUUGGAGAAGAGGAACAAGACAAGAGUAAAUAAAGGCAGAGAUACCAUCUCUGCAACUCGAGCAGUCAUCUGAUCCUUCCUGCAUCUCCGCCAAACUGUUCCCUGUACACAGCAGCAGAGCUCUGUAUUUUGGCCCUGCAUGCAGUCUUUUCUCACAUCUGUCACCUGCUGGGUGUCUAAAUCAUCAGUAAUGCAACAUAUGGAAUGGGUGAUCUGAAGAUAUCAAGCAGCUCCAAAACACCUACCGGUAAAGCAGCAGUGAUCACUUUAAGAAGACGAUGACAACUAAGUGGAAGCCAG
ensembl:lncRNA